rnacentral:tRNA from 1 species
GGAGGCGUCGCCUAGUCCGGUCGAUGGCGCCCGCCUGCUAAGCGGGUUGAGGGUGAUCCCCUCUCGCGGGUUCAAAUCCCGCCGCCUCCG